rnacentral:rRNA from 1 species
GACGAAGGAUGCAAGCGUUAUCCGGAUUCAUUGGGUUUAAAGGGAGCGUAGGUGGCCUUAUAAGUCAGUGGUGAAAUCUUCGAGCUUAACUCGGAAAUUGCCAUUGAUACUGUAGGGCUUGAGUAUAGUUGCUGUUGGCGGAAUAUGACAUGUAGUGGUGAAAUACAUAGAGAUGUCAUAGAACACCGAUUGCGAAGGCAGCUAACGAAACUAUAACUGACACUGAGGCUCGAAAGUGCGGGGAUCAAACAGG